rnacentral:rRNA from 1 species
AUUGAACGCUGGCGGCAUGCCUUACACAUGCAAGUCGAACGGCAGCACGGGUGCUUGCACCUGGUGGCGAGUGGCGAACGGGUGAGUAAUAUAUCGGAACGUACCUUAUUGUGGGGGAUAACGCAGCGAAAGCUGUGCUAAUACCGCAUAAUCCCUAAGGGGGAAAGCGGGGGACCGUAAGGCCUCGCGCAAUUAGAGCGGCCGAUACCUGAUUAGCUAGUUGGUGAGGUAAAGGCUCACCAAGGCAACGAUCAGUAGCUGGUCUGAGAGGACGAUCAGCCACACUGGGACUGAGACACGGCCCAGACUCCUACGGGAGGCAGCAGUGGGGAAUUUUGGACAAUGGGGGCAACCCUGAUCCAGCAAUGCCGCGUGAGUGAAGAAGGCCUUCGGGUUGUAAAGCUCUUUUGUCAGGGAAGAAACAGCAGCUCUAACACAGUUUGCGAAUGACCGUACCUGAAGAAUAAGCACCGGCUAACUACGUGCCAGCCGCCGCCGUAA